rnacentral:rRNA from 1 species
UACGUAGGGGGCAAGCGUUGUCCGGAUUUAUUGGGCGUAAAGAGCGUGUAGGCGGCCUGAAAGGUCAGCUGUGAAAACUCGAGGCUCAACCUCGAGACGUCGGUUGAAACCAUCUGGCUAGAGUCCGGAAGAGGAGUGUGGAAUUCCCGGUGUAGCGGUGAAAUGCGUAGAUAUCGCUUGGAACGCCAACGGUGAAAACAGGUUGCUGGGGUUGUGCCGACGCUGAGACACGAAAGCCAGGGGAGCAAACGGG